rnacentral:tRNA from 1 species
CCGUCGAUAGCUCAGUUGGUAGAGCGGUGGACUGUAGAGGAAAUAGCUGCUGUCAUCCAUAGGUCGCUGGUUCGAAUCCGGCUCGACGGA